AGGGAUAUAGCUCAGUUGGUAGAGUGCUUGCCUAGCAUGCACAAGGCCCUGGGUUCAAUCCCCAGCACCACAA
rnacentral:tRNA from 1 species